ensembl:lncRNA
GGAAAGGAAAGGAAAGGAAAGGAAAGGAAAGGAAAGGAAAGGAAAGGAAAGGAAAGGAAAGGAAAGGAAAGGAAAGGAAAGGAAAGGAAAGGAAAGGAAAGGAAAGGAAAGGAAAGGAAAGGAAAGGAAAGGAAAGGAAAGGAGAGAAAAAUGAAAAGAGAAGAAAAGAGAAGAAAAGAGAAGAAAAGAGAAGAAAAGAGAAGAAAAGAAGAAAAGAGAAGAAAAGAAAAGAAAAGAAAAGAAAAGAAAAGAAAAGAAAAGAAAAGAAAAGAAAAGAAAAGAAAAGAAAAGAAAAGAAAAGAAAAGAAAAGAAAAGAAAAGAAAAGAAAAGAAAAGAAAAGAAAAGAAAAGAAAAGAAAAGAAAAGAAAAGAAAAGAAAAGAAAAGAAAAGAAAAGAAAAGAAAAGAAAGAAGAAAAGAAAAGAAAAAUUAUAGAGAUUUCUAACUCAAUGGCUUGGCUUAUGGGGAGCAUAAAGUAACAUCUUGGAAUACAGAGUGCCAUAUUGCAGAGGUGAAAUGAAUCCUGCCUUUCCUGUUUGAGCUCUCCAGUGAAUUGCACAUAUUCUUUACUACUUUAUAUGUUGCUUACAAGGUUUUUUGUGUGCAUGGAGUCUUUGCAUGCUGAAAAUGAAUCAGUAAAACUGACAUGAAUCCAACUAAGUAUUAUAACAGAUUUCUCAAUGAGACAACCCCAGUAUUUAUUACAGUGUGUAGCACUUUCUCAAAUGCAGUCUUCAUUCUAAGAGAUCUUCAGUUUUUGGAUUCUUCUGUUUAGAAUUUAGUUUACUUAUCUGGAUUAGAAACUGACUCCACAGACAUUAGUGUUAGCACAACUAAGAGAGCUCUUCCCUGUACCACGUGGCAGCAGACAGAAGUAUCUUAAGUUAAUAUUUCUGCUAAAAUUUGUGCUAAAAUUCUGCUAAAAAGUGUGAAGGACUGGUCUAGCACAUGGUUGUUGCAAGCUGAGUUUCCUUCAUCAGCAAAAUAAGUAGAGUACAAUUCCAAGUGUAUAUAUAGGAGAUAGAUCAGAGGCCAUUCCUCAGGAGGAGUAAAAUUAACUCUACAGUGUUCAUACUUCACUAGCACUGGCUCUGAUCAUCAUUACUGUAUAACUUAAAGUACAUCUCAGAUGCUUAGUUCAGUUCAAGUUUAAAUUAUGCUGAGAAAACAUCAGAUGACACCAUAUUAGUCAUAAAUCUUUUGCUUAUUCAUGGUAGAGAUAGAGAUAUAGCUGAAACACAGACAUUACCCACACUGACUCUGUCUAACAUCAGAUGCUGAGAUGCCCAAAUCAGAAGUCUAGUUCUCUUAACUCUCUGUAGAGUUAGUAGAGAGAGAAAAAGAGGUAUCCUCAGAAAUCAAUGCAGAUUCAGAUUUAAAUUGUUCUCCAUAGAUGCAUCUGUCCACUGACUACAGCAGGAUCCCUGAUAACUAAGAGUAACUAAGCACCUAUUGUAGGGGCUCUGGUUAAAUAGAUCAAUGUAGAUGUUAUUUCUGUUGGCUCCUUGGUAGUCACUGUAAGGCAUUCAAAAGGUCCACAACAGGACUAGAUCUGUAUUUGGUAUCCAAGAGAAGAGCCUGUUUUUGCUUAGUUACUCUUGCACAUUUAUUGGUCAGCAGUACAUUGCUGUUUCCUGCUAAUCUCAGGAUACUUUUCCUGAGUGUGCUGACAGAGGGUACGUGGCAUAGAUUUCCAGGCUGUACUAUCUAAAGGGAACAGUGCCUGCUAACAGUUCAUUAACUCCACUUACAUUAGGUACUUACACAGCGGAUGUUUACUUGCUGUCUUGGCUGUAGAUGCAAUGGUAAGUGGUUGCUAGGAGGCAGGAAUGGAUUAAUUCUAAACAGAAAGGCAAAGGAAGAAUCUGCUUUUGAAAGCAAAAAGUGUGUGUUCCCUUAACAAUAGGAGAAUGGAGCACAAAUACUCUGUUCUCAGAAAAAAGCCCAUGGGACCCAGGUAACCAGCCCAAACUUGGAGCAAGAACUAGAGAAAAUGUGAAGAUAUAACAAUAAGAAUGCAUUAAACCUGCUGAGUCCUGAUUUUCUGCCUCUGGUUUUGAUGCUGCACUGGAGAGAAAAAGAAAGAAAGAAAGAAGGAAAGAAGGAAAGAAGGAAAGAAGGAAAGAAGGAAAGAAGGAAAGAAAGAAAGAAAGAAAGAAAGAAAGAAAGAAAGAAAGAAAGAAAGAAAGAAAGAAAGAAAGAAAGAAAGAAAGAAAGAAGAAAGAGAGAGAGAAAGAGAGAGAAAGAAAGAGAGAGAGAGAGAAAGAAAGAAAGAAAGAAAGAAAGAAAGAAAGAAAGAAAGAAAGAAAGAAAGAAAGAAAGAAAGAAAGAAAGAAAGAAAGAAAGAAAGAAAGAAAAAGAAAGGAAGGAAGAAAGAAAGACAAUGCUGCUAUGUCUACAAUUGCAGAAAAGAAAUAAGAGAUUUUGUCACAUCUACUAAGCUGACUUCUGAAAAUGACCAUAAUUUAGCAACAUCUAAUGUACUGGACCGAAGAUCAUGUAUUUCUCAUUUGAUAAAUCUGAUAACCAGUGUCAGUCAAAAAAGUGUGAUAUCCCAUUUGGAAACAAACAGUCUGUUUUCUCUCUUCAUUAUGGAAAUUGUGUGAGGAAGUCCUAGAAUAAGGAAGUUGAUGAAGUUUCUGCAAAAUAAUCAUUUCAAAGAAUGAAUAUUCCCGGAAGUAAUCUUGUGAGGUUUUUAAAAUUUAGUUUGGUUGAUUUGAAUCAUAGAAUAAUAUAUUCUUUUGAGUUGGAAGGGACUCUAAAAGGCCAUGUAGUCCCCUGCAAUGAACAGGGACACCUACAGCUCAAUCAGGUUGCUCAGAGCCUGGUCCAGCCUAACCUUGAAUGUCUCCAGGGAUGGGGCAUCAACCACAUCUCUGGGCAACCUUUUCCAGUGCCUCACCAACCUCACUGUAAAGAACUUCUUCCUUAUAUCCAAACUAAAUCUCCUCUUUUUCAUUUUGAAAUCAUUUCCCAUUCUUCUAUCACCACAGGUCCUGCUAAUAAGUCUUCUUUCUUAUAGCACCCCUCUAGAUACUGAAAACCUUCUAUCAGAUCUUGCUGGAGCCUUUCUCAGUUGGGAGAUGGGAAGUGUUUCAUCCCUUGGCUUUCUGGGCUGUGAGAGCACAUUGUUGGCUCAUGUCCAGCUUCCCGAACACCCCCAAGUUCUUUUCGCCAGGGCCGUUCUCCAUCCUUUCAUCCUCCAGCAAAUAUUGGUAAAAGGGGCUGUGCCAUUACCCAAGUGCAAGGCUUUGCACUUGGAUUUAUUGAACCCCAUGAGGUUCACUUGAGCCCUCUGUUCAGCCCGUCUCUCUGGAUGGCAUCCCAUCGCUCAAGCAUGGUGACCACACUGCACAGCUUGGCAUCGUAGAUUUGAUGCUUGGACUAGAUGAUCUUGUAGGUCCUUUCCAAACUUGUGAUUCUAUAAUUCUAUGAUUCUAUGAUCAUCUGCAAUCUUGCUGAGGGUACACUCAAUCCCACUGUCAAUGCCACUGAUGAAGAUGUUAAAGAGCACUGGGGCCAGCACUGAUCCCCAUGGGACACCACUUGUCACUGAUGUCCAUCUCGACAUUGAGCCAUUGACUACCACACUCUGGGUAUGAUCUCAUAACCAGUUGCUUGUCUGCUGAACAGUCCACCCACCAAAUUUGUAUCUUUCCAGGUUGGAGAGAAGCAUGUUAUAGGGGACUGUGUCAAAGACCAUACUGAAGUCCAGGUCGAUGAUAUCAGUGGCUCUUCCCUUGUCCACUGACACAGUUACCUUGUGCACUGAUGCAGUUAAGUGGUUUGGUUAUGGUUUUGGUUCAUUACUUGGCUGUUUUUAAAGGAGUUCUACAUUGCAAGAGAGUGGGCAGCUCCACCAGGGAACAGUAUGCUUUUUGCUGUUGCGAAAAUAAUAAGUAGCAGUAUAUUGUAAUAUCUACAUUUUUCCCCAUGUAUGAGAUACGGAGGUAGAGGAGAAGCAAGGUUUGGCGUGAUCUCAUCAAUACUUACAAAUACCUGAAGGGAGCUGGAAGGAAGAGCCAAGCGCUUGUCAGUGGUGCCCAGCAAUAGAGUAAGAGUCAGCAGCACAACCUGGAGCACAGCAGGCUCCCUCUGAGCAUCAGGAGAUACAGUUUUAUUGCAUGGGUGUCUCAGACCAGGAACCAGCUGCCCACAGAGGCAGUGGGAUCUGAUGACCUCCCUGUUUCCCUUCAAACCUCAGCUAUUCUGGACAGCCGCUAUGGAUUGUUGGUGACAAAGCUCAAGAGAAAGAGGAUGUCAGUGGAAAGAGACCAUUUCCAGCUUGUUCUUGCAUAGUGCUGAGAAAUUAACUCACAGGCUAGCAGUAAUGUUUGCAGAACUGGAGGCUGUGAAAUACAUUCCUCCUAGGCAAGGGGAAUGGCUAAGAAAAAUUGCUGCAUUGUUACCAAUAUUUGUUUGCACAACCACGAGCCGGGUUGCUUUGGCUUCUUUCCAUCUAUGAGCCACCAGCCCAGGCUGCCAGCAACCUGGUUUUGGUUCAGCUGAUCUUUUGUUUACUUGUUACUUCAAAUGCCAUAGACACAGAAGGUUAAAAAAGCAAUGGGGAAAAUUCUAGUAGCAAAGGAUGAAUAAGAGUUAGGAUAAGUAGGUGUUCUUUCAAAUGAGGGAUGUCCAUAACAAAGCACGCUUGGUAAGCACCUGGCCUCGUUUCCUUUAAUAUUUCAUGCUUGAGAGAAACCCUAUCCAUGUAAUUUUCUCCCUUUCCUCAAGGAGGCAGCUGGUGAUACAGGGCACAGAACUGAUGAGUCCUGCUCUCUUCUGGGAGUGACCUGAGGUCCUUUCCAGAGCCCUUUCCUUGCAAAUUCUUCAGAUAAAUAGUAGGUCAUAAUCCUGCCUAUUUGAUAGGAAAAGUGUAUUUCGUUUUCAAAUAAGUUGACAUUCUAUUUGUUUAGACUCA